AACGAACGCUGGCGGCAUGCCUAACACAUGCAAGUCGAACGAGACCUUCGGGUCUAGUGGCGCACGGGUGCGUAACGCGUGGGAACCUGCCUUUAGGUUCGGAAUAACUCAGAGAAAUUUGAGCUAAUACCGGAUGAUGUCUUCGGACCAAAGAUUUAUCGCCUUUCGAUGGGCCCGCGUUGGAUUCGCUAGUUGGUGGGGUAAAGGCCUACCAAGGCGACGAUCCAUAGCUGGUCUGAGAGGAUGAUCAGCCACACUGGGACUGAGACGCGGCCCAGACUCCUACGGGAGGCAGCAGUGGGGAAUAUUGGACAAUGGGCGAAAGCCUGAUCGAGCAAUGCCGCGUGAGUGAUGAAGGCCUUAGGGUUGUAAAGCUCUUUUACCCGAGAUGAUAAUGACAGUAUCGGGAGAAUAAGCCCCGGCUAACUCCGUG
rnacentral:rRNA from 1 species